ensembl:misc_RNA
UUAUAAGGAAGGCGUCGGUCCUCCAUUUCAGCCUUUCUCUCCACCAGGACGUGGCCGUGGCAUUUCUGGUCUUGUAAACACCGGACUCUUUGGGGCCU